UAAUACACGCAAGCUGACGGUAAAUAUUAUAGCAAUAUGAUAUGAGAGUGGCGUAAGGGUGCGUAACACGUAUGCAAUCUGCCCUGUACAGGAGGAUAGCUCGGCGAAAGCCGGAUUAAUACUCCGUAAUAUUAUUGAGUGGCAUCGUUUGAUAAUUAAAGUUGCAAGAUGGUACAGGAUGAGCAUGCGUCUGAUUAGCUAGUUGGUAGUGUAACGGACUACCAAGGCGAUGAUCAGUAGGGGAACUGAGAGGUUGAUCCCCCACACUGGCACUGAGAUACGGGCCAAACUCCUACGGGAGGCAGCAGUAGGGAAUAUUGGUCAAUGGAUGCAAGUCUGAACCAGCCAUGCCGCGUGCAGGAAGAAGGCCUUCUGGGUUGUAAACUGCUUUUGCCGGGGGAUAAAAUUACCUUGCGAGGUAAAUUGAAGGUACCCGGUGAAUAAGCCACGGCUAACUACGUGCCAGCAGCCGCGGUAAUACGUAGGUGGCAAGCGUUGUCCGGAUUUAUUGGGUUUAAAGGGUGCGUAGGCGGCCUAUUAAGUCAGUUCUGAAAUAUCCCGGCUUAACCGGGAGGGUGGGAUUGAUACUGAUGGGCUUGAGUGGAGUCGAGGUAGGCGGAAUUGACGGUGUAGCGGUGAAAUGCUUAG
rnacentral:rRNA from 1 species